ACGUUACUGAGAACCUGCCCCGGGAGCUGAGGGCUGAUGCAGGGAGCGGGGGAAGAGCUCUCCUCUGGGAGACAGCAGGGGCAGCUACAAGAGGCCAUGAGGACUCAUGGAGUUCAAACUGCUCACAUUAACGAAGAGAAGGUUCAGGGAUGACUUGAUCCCAGUCUUUACCGAUCCAUGAGACGGCCUUCCCGCUUAUCCCAUGACAGCUUACUUUGCUUAAGAGCCUUUGGUGAGGGACCUUGUCAAAGGCUUUCUGAAAAUCCUUGGUAUUUGACUGAGAUUACUGAAAGGGGAUUGUCUGCAUGCUGUUUGGGCCCACUGCUCUUCUAGGACUGGCUGAUGUGUAAAUAAACAAGUUACACUAAGGGAAAACCCAGACUCUUCACUUAUUUUCCUCCAACGAGAAAAUGACUUGCAAGGUCCCAGGGUCUGCUACUGUUUGAUGGGGGUGAGAGAAUCUAUACCCCAUGCUGGAGCCAGUGGUUGCACUCACACCUCUCUGUCCUGCAUGAAGCCUGCAGCUUAGCACCCUGUAACUUCACAUUGAGGCAAGGGCAUUCUGGAAAAAUUGAUGUGCUCCAGCCAGGCAAAGAGAAGAAUUUUCUCUGCAAUUCUCUAAAGGAGAGGCCCAGAAGCUGUAAUCCCCAAUUAGAAUUUUAAACCAGAGUAUCCUAAGUUUCCAGCCGGAACUUGCUCAGAAGAGCAGUGUCGUUAGAGCUGUAAAGCUGUAAUUGCCUCUCAGGUAGGGCAGGGACGCUGAAACAAUGUGAAUAGUGGGGUGCUGGGAGCCAUUGAACCAAACUGUAAACCCUGGAUAGGAUGGAAACCACUUCAAGCCAGGGGGUGUGGCAGUCCCCCUAGUUCCAGCGCCUAUGAAGUAGGGCAUUCCAAAGCAUAAUGCAUUAAUGAAUCUUAGUGGCUUAGGACAGGCUCAGCCAAUGAAACAAGGUAGAGAUGUUACAUCAUCUGCUAAACUCUUAUUGGCUGAUUGUACUCUGAGGGCGGCUCGCUGGUAUUUAGUUGCUCUAUGCACAGUUUUGCACCAGUGUAACUAUGUUGGUUAGGGAUGUGGCUUUUUGACUGAAAUGGUUGUACCACUACCACCCCUAAUGGGGAGCCAGAGGGGCUGGUAUAAAGGUGCAUCUUACUGAUGUAGCUUAUUCCCCUUCUUGUACACUAACUGCAGAGCCAUGGGGAAAGCAGGGUCAUGUUUAUUUCCCUUUCCUGAUUAGAGAUGGAGUCAAUCCAAGGAGCAGUCAAUAGAGGGCAGGAAAUUCAAGAGACGGACGGAGAGGGCCACAAUUCCUAGCAUCAUGGAAGUGUUAGCAAACGAAUCCUCACAGCCCCCGGGAGGUAAAGAAAUAUCAUCCCCACCGUACAGGUGGGGAAACUGAGGCACAGAACGGGGCUGGCUCAGGACACACAGGAAAUCAGCAGCACAGCAAGACACAAGAAACCAGCUGUUCCUAGUCUCCAGUCACCUUAGCCCACUAGACCCAGAGUCUCAAAGGUAUUCAGGUGCCUAACUCUCCUUAAAAUCAAUGGGACUUAGGUGCCUAAACACCUCUGAGGAUCUGAGCCCUCGUGUCCAAUGGGUAAUGCCCAUUCACUCUAUACCUCUCUAGUGGUGACUGGGCCACAGACAGGGCUUCAGAGGCCUGCUACAACCUUAGCUAACACAGCUCGAUCAUUUAACUCAGGCAGGAGAGGCUUGUGCUUUUAGAUCCAGAUAUCCCAGGGGUGACCCAGGAACCUCUCAAUGCCAACUGGCAAAGGGCAGAGAGAGGGUGCAGGGGGCUGCAGCGUCUAUUGAGUCCAGCCUUUAGAUUCUAGUUCACCAAAGUGUGUCCUGGAACGUCUCAGGUGAAAGCCUGUGGCCCACAUCUCACCAGUAUCAUCGCAAAACACACAUACAGAUGUUGUGUAAGGAGUUAUGUAUGUAGGUGGAAAAUUAUGUUCUUAAAGUGGGGGAGAACCCUAUCAUAGAAUCAUAGAAUAUCCGGGUUGGAAGGGAC